UAGCCGUAAACGAUACUCGCUAGGUGUCGGCCACGGUGCGACCGUUGUCGGUGCCGUAGGGAAGCCGUGAAGCGAGCCACCUGGGAAGUACGGCCGCAAGGCUGAAACUUAAAGGAAUUGGCGGGGGAGCACAACAACGGGUGGAGCUUGCGGUUUAAUUGGAUUCAACGCCGGAAAUCUUACCGGGACCGACAGCAACAUGAAGGCCAGGCUGAAGACUUUGCCGGAUUAGCUGAGAGGUGGUGCAUGGCGUAGACGUCU
rnacentral:rRNA from 1 species